GAAGGUAGCAUAAUUAAUUGCCUUAUAAUUGAAGGCUUGUUUGAAUGGUUUGACGAGAUAAAUAUAAAUAUCACAUAUAUGUUUGAAAUUAAUUUUGGGGGCACAGAAUCCUCAAGGUUUAAUUAGACGGAAAGACCCCGGGAUCUUUUGUUUUUGCCUGGGGCAGGUAUUAAUAUUUCAUUAAUAUUUGGACCCUAAUGGUUUAUUGGGUUAAGUUACCCCGGGGAUAACAGUGUAAUAAUUAAUGAGAGAUCUUAUCGAAUUAAUAGUUUGCCACCUCGAUGUUGACUUAGGUAAAAAUGUAGACGCAGUAGUUUGUAAUUUGGGUCUGUUCGACCCUUUAUACCUCCAUGAGUUGAGUUAAGACCGGCGUGAGC
rnacentral:rRNA from 1 species